rnacentral:tRNA from 1 species
GGGAGUAGCCAAGUGGUAAGGCCCCUGCCUCUGGAGCAGGCAUUCGGGGGUUCGAGUC